rnacentral:rRNA from 1 species
GGAGGAAAAGGAACCAACAGGGAUUGCCCCAGUAACGGCGAGUGAAGCGGCAAAAGCUCAAAUUUGAAAUCCUGCGGGAAUUGUAAUUUGAAGGUUUCGUGGUCUGAGUCGGCCGCGCCCAAGUCCAUUGGAACAUGGCGCCUGGGAGGGUGAGAGCCCCGUAUGGCGCACGCCGACUCUUUGCACCGCGGCUCCGACGAGUCGAGUUGUUUGGGAAUGCAGCUCUAAGUGGGUGGUAAAUUCCAUCUAAAGCUAAAUAUUGGCGAGAGACCGAUAGCGAACAAGUACAGUGAUGGAAAGAUGAAAAGCACUUUGAAAAGAGAGUGAAACAGCACGUGAAAUUGUUGAAAGGGAAGGGCUUGCAAGCAGACACGGUUUUACCGGGCCAGCGUCAAAUAAACGGGGGGGAAAAGGGGGAAAGAAUGUGGCGCGUGCCUUCGGGUUCGCGUGUUAUAGCUUUCUCUAAUACCCCCAUGUUUGUUUGAGGCCUGCGAUUCUAGGACGCUGGCGUAAUGGUUGCAAGCCGCCCGCU